CAGUCUGGGUGACAGAGUGAGACUUCAAAUCAAAAAAAAAAAAAAGAAAACCCCAAACCGUAGGCAUAGAGUUCCCUCCUGAGCAUGAAGCUGGUUCUUGGUGUUGCUUCUCUGCAACAACCGCUUGCCAUUGAAAUCGUUCUUGCUUUCCUUUUUGGGGAGCAAGAGGGAGAGUAUGCAGUCUGUAUGGU
rnacentral:snoRNA from 1 species